AUUGAACGCUGGCGGCAUGCCUUACACAUGCAAGUCGAACGGCAGCGCGGACCUCGGUCUGGCGGCGAGUGGCGAACGGGUGAGUAAUACAUCGGAACGUACCCUGUUGUGGGGGAUAACUAGUCGAAAGAUUAGCUAAUACCGCAUACGACCUGAGGGUGAAAGUGGGGGACCGGAAACGGCCUCAUGCAGCAGGAGCGGCCGAUGUCUGAUUAGCUAGUUGGUGGGGUAAAGGCCCACCAAGGCGACGAUCAGUAGCUGGUCUGAGAGGACGAUCAGCCACACUGGGACUGAGACACGGCCCAGACUCCUACGGGAGGCAGCAGUGGGGAAUUUUGGACAAUGGGGGCAACCCUGAUCCAGCAAUGCCGCGUGUGUGAAGAAGGCCUUCGGGUUGUAAAGCACUUUUGUCCGGAAAGAAAUCGCGCUGGUUAAUACCUGGCGUGGAUGACGGUACCGGAAGAAUAAGCACCGGCUAACUACGUG
rnacentral:rRNA from 1 species